UUGCCUGAAGAAGUUGUUGAUUUGGAGGAAAUUAGUGAGCUUACUGGAUUGACUGAAAUUUCGGAAGGCGAAGAAAGUGAAGAAGAUAGGUCUGAUUUUGAGGUAAGUGAUGAUGUGGUUAAAGCUGAAUUUUCAGAUUUAUCUUCAUUUGAUAUUGACUUUGAUGAGUAUGGUAAAGCAAAGCCAAGAAUUGCAGAACCCAAGUUUAGAAUGAGUUUAGCUGAGCUUUUGGAUGAGAGUAGGGUAGUGCCAGUGUCAGUUUAUGGAGAUUUAGAGGUGG
rnacentral:misc_RNA from 1 species